CGGUAUUUUAAAAAUUCAUAUCAUAACAAAAAUAAACACCGGUAUUCGAUAUGAACCGGUAUACUGACCAGCACUAACACCACUCAGUAUCU